UUUGAUGAUGUUUCGGAAAAUCCUUUCUGCUACCCAACCAUUAUGAUCAUCUCUGGUCAUUUCCUAGGACGGAAUGCUACAACUCAUGGUGGGCAUUGAAAUUCCCUAGUAGCAGGCAGUUAUUGCCUACCAACAAUGGGCUAAUAUCUGGAAAAUACCGAGGUUCACACCUAUUAAUCGUUGUAACCAUAACAACGUUGUAGGCUGUAAUUUUCAUUCAGCUUGGUUUCCUGCACCGCUGAGAUCUAUGGUGGAUGACGUUCUGACAACCCGAGCAGAACAAAGGUCCGGGAGUUUCCUCAAUUCCGGCACGGACCAAUAAAAUCCGGGAAUAUGGGACAAAAUAUGAGAUAUUUUGAGUAAUUUUUUUUGAUUGCUUGCGUAUUUGCAAAACAAAAUAUGUUGCUGGUAAAGUUUUUUUUUUUUUUGAGUGGGGUGUGUGAGUUUUGGAAUGCAUUUUCCAUUGCCAAUGCUCUGGCCACUUCAAUAUUCAACACAAGACUGGUAAUAGCUUGAAAUGAGGAACUUCGCGGUUCCAGAAUUCCGACAUUUUCCACUUUUGCCACGUGGAGGCACAUCAACUCCUGUGAACAAGGAGGUCAAUUUUCACGAAGACUUUUGGCAACAAGAGAUUGUGGAUUUGCACGCAUCUCAAAAAAAAAAAUUCAAUGGAAAUUGCUAAAAGAUGCUGGUACGCAAACUGACCCGGUACUUUUUUCAGGGGAAAUGGAUACAUUUAAAGAACCGCUUAAAAUGUUUGGUUUUUAUACAAAGAAAAAGUGACCACGCCUACUUUUACGCCAAUUUUUUUCGAUUUACCUAAAAUCCUAAUAUUUGCCAAAUUUAAUAAAUAUUUGUUCCAUAGUUAGUAUAUGACGUACUCUUGACUCUCCCUCCAACCCUAGGUAUCUGGGGUCAGAGGAACUGGCCACACAUACUUCUUUAAAUUUAUAUGUAUAUAAUUUAACAAAAUAUAGUAACACAUCAGUUGAGAACUGCUU